CAGAUGGGGUCUCAAGAUGUUGCCCAUACUGGUUCAAACUCCUGCCUUAAGUGAUCCUCCAGCCUCAACCUCCCACGUAGUUGGGAUUACAGGCAUGAGCCACAGUGCCCAGCUGCCAAUAUGCUUUGAAUUUUCAGUAAGGACUGUCGUUGAGGAAGAUCAAUUGCUCAGGGGGACUACAGCUCUGUGUCCUAUACCAGCACUGAAGCCUCAAUUCUAGUCUAAUCUGCAGCCUCGGAUGAGGGGAAGACCACUUUGUGGAGGCAAGCUGUCUUCUCUAUAUGAAGGCAUCUGAGAUGAUUACUGGUGGCACUCUAGAUUGGACGUUUGAACAUUUCCCAAACACAAAGCAAAAAAUCAAAAAGAAAGAAGCCAGUAUCUACUGGACAAGGCAGUGUGCAAGGCAGUUUCCCAGAGAGAUGGAAACACAAAGCUGUCCUCGGAGAAGUAACUCACUGAGAAGAAGGCUGUUCAUGGGGCAUGUUUGACACUGGUCCUCCGCCGGCCCCAUGCAGUGGAAGCACUUAACAUGGCAGGGCUUGCACCCGGGAGCAUCCUCAUCCCAGUACUCGGAGGGAAAUUGAGGCUGGAGAUGCUAAGUCACUUACGCUAAGUAGUAUCAGGAGUUGAGCCCAGGACCUUAGCAACUGCCUUGCUGCUUCUGCUCCAGUGCUUCAGGAAAGGUAUGGGACUUUUAGAGGUGUCUGUACUAUCUAUUACAGGAUAAUCUGGGUGAUUGGAAUGGAUCCAAAGUCCUUGUGUUUCUUAGAGAAGAUCCUGCUUACAGAUUUUUUUUUCUUUUUUUUGCUAUAGGUUCUUGCUCUGUCACCCAGGCUAGAGUGCAGUGGUGUGAUCAUGGCUCACUGAAACAUUGACCUCCCAGGCUAAAGUGAUCCCCCCAUCUCAGCCUCUUGAGUAGCUGGGACUACAGGCACACACCACUACAUCUGGCUAAUUUUUGUAUAAUUAUUUUUGUUUUAGAAAUAGGGUCUUGCUAUGUUGCCCAGGCUGGUCUCAAAUUCCUGGACUCAAGAGAUCCUCCUGCCUUGGCCUCCCAAAGUGUUGUUGAGAUUACAGAUGUGAGCCACCGUGUCCGGCUGAGAUUGCUCCAUUCUAAACGCUUCUCUACACUUCCCCAAAUCUUAAUUUUCAGAUCAGGUUCUUUGUAUUAUCUCUCUGGAAAGUCAGGUUGUCACUGUUUCUUCCAAUACCACAUUCCUUCCCCUCCCUUUGGUCUGGUAGAAAGUGCAAUGGCGGCCGGGCAUGGUGGCUCACGCCUGUAAUCCCAGCACUUUGGGAGGCAGAGACGGGCAGAUCACCUAAGGUCAGGAGUUCGAGACCACCCUGACCAAUAUGGAGAAACUCUGUCUCUACUAAAAAUACAAAAUUAGCUGGGUGUGGUGGCACAUGCCUGUAAUCCCAGUCACUCGGGAAGCUGAAGCAGGAGAAUCUCUUGAACCAGGGAGGCGGAGGUUGUGGUGAGUCCAGAUCGCGCCAUUGCACUCCAGCCUGGCAGCAACGAGAGCAAAACUCCGUCUCAAAAAAAAGAAAGUGCAAUGUCAUUGUAGGGAGACACCUCAAGUGAGUUUCCAACUCUGUCCUCACUAGUGGGGUCACAUUGAGCAAGUGCUUAACUUCUCAAAGCAUCUGUUUCCUUCUCAGAAAAAUGCAGAAAAUUGCCAUUUACCUCAAUGGCUCUCAACCCACACUAAGCAUCAGAAUUACUGGUGGUGGGAGAAGGAAUUAGAAUGUUGGGUGCAGGCAUCUGUGGUUUUAAGAGCUGCCCAGGUGAUUCUAAUGGGCAACCAGGGGCCUUUCUCAAGGAGAUAAUUAAAUCAGAUAAAUUAAGAAAACAUACUCUGAGACCUGUAAAGCUCUCUGUAUGGUAAAUUACUUUCAUUAUUCAACACCAGAGAAAGGCCAGAAGUUGAACCUCAGUUCCUGCCCUCGCAGAGGCAAGAUGGCGCUGGAGGCCUGCUGCUGAGUCUCUCACCUCCCAGAAGCCAUUCCCAGCUCCACAGCCUGCCUCCCACACGAACACCCGCCUCUUCUGCAUGCGGACACAGCCUUGACAUCCACGCCUUUUCACAUAUGGGCAGGUAGGACAUUAACACUAAAUAGUGCUUUAUAUAAAACACACAAAAAGACAUAUCCACAGCACAAGGCUGGAGCAGAAAGCCUUCAGGACCGAGACACAUCUUCGUGUCCUACUAAAAACCUUCCCCUCAGUAUGUCCUAGGGUGUGGGUGUCCCAGGGUUUCUCAGUGGAAGGUCACUCUCAGGCUCUCGCGGUUGUUAGGGGAAUUGCCUCUGGACAUCUAUCUUGUCGUGUUUGCUUGGGGGCGACAUGUGGGGGUGAAGGACCUCAGGCUGCCUCAACAGAGUGAAUCCUGGGCUCUAGAAAAGCCCCCGCCCCACAACAUUUCUCUCACUUGCUAGAGAAUUCUAGAGUGCAUAACUUAUUUUAUUUUUCUGUUCCUUGAUAAUGAAUAAGAGGCAAAUGAUUCAUGCCGAGUUAAAACAUAAGGAGGUAUAAAUAAUAGCAGAUCCUUUCUUGAACAUGCAGGGACUGAGUGGGAGUGGAAAUGGGGACCUUGGAGCAGGAAUUGAAGGAUAUGAAGAGGAAGGUGGGGAGCUUCCAGGGAGCAAACCAUGAAGGGAGGCUGGGCGCGGUGGCUCACACCUGUAAUCCCAGCACUUUGGGAGGCCAGGGUGGGCGGAUCACUUGAGAUCAGGCAUUCAGGACCAGCCUGGCCAACAUGGUGAAACCCUGUCUCUACUAAAAAUGCAAAAAUUAGCUAGGUGUGGUGGCAGCCACCUAUAAUCCCAGCUACUCAGGAGGCUGAGGCAGGAGAACCACUUGAACCCAGGAGGUGGAGGCUGCGAUGAGCUGAGAUCAUGCCACUGCACUCCAACCUGGGCAACAGAGUGAGACUCCAUCUCAAGAACAACAAUAACAAAAUAUGGACCGAGCGCCAUGGCUCACGCUUAUUAUCCCAGCACUUUGGAAGGGCGAGGCAGGUGGAUCACUUGAGGUCAGGAGUUCAAGACCAGCCUGGUCAACAUGGUGAAACCCCCUCUCUACUAAAAAUAGAAAAAUUAGCCAGGCGUGGUGGCACACGCCUGUAGUCCCAGUUACUCAGGAGCCUGAGGCAGGCAAAUCGCUUGAACCCAGGAGGCAGAGGUUAUAGUAAGCCAAGAUCGUGCCACCGCACUCUAGCCAACAGAGUGAGACUCUGUCUCAAAAAAAAAAAAAAAAUCACCCAGGAAGGGAGACAAGAGGCACCAAGAAAGUCCCUUAUGGUGUCACAAUUUGCUUGUGUUAUCAAGAAAAGUCUCAGGUAGCUUUUGAAGGCUCCUCCUCUCUGCUGUAAAUCUUUAUAUGAUAACUUCUUUUGACCAGCAGUUCAUAGCCACUGUUGUGAGGAAGGUCCACGUGAUUUGUCACUAAUAAAAGUUACCUGUACAAAGCUUAUGAGUGAUUCAUUUAAAGAUUAUUUACAACCGGUUCAAAAUAUGCCUCCUUGAGUGAGAUGGUAAAGGAUGAGAUGGACUGGUCAUGGUGACUCACACCUGUAAUCCCAGCACUUUGGGAGCCCAAGGCAGAGGAUUGCUUGAAGCCAGGAGUUCAAGACCAGCCUAGGCAACAUUCUGAGACCUCAUCUCUAUGUUCCCAGCAACUCUGGAGGCUGAGGUGGGAGGAUCACUUGAGCCCAGGAGGCGGAGGCUUCAGUGAGCCAUGUUCGUGCUACUGAACUUGAGCCUGGGCAAUAGAGGGAGACCUUGUCCCAAAACAAAAACAAAACACAACAAAAAAAAGAUUGAGAUGACAGCUCUGGCGCUGGGGCUGGGGCUGGAACUAUGCAAACCCCGGAGCCUAUUUUGAAUCCCAGAAGUCUUUACCUCUGCACUCCUUAGUCUCCUUUUCAUAAUAGGUUCCUGCUGGACACUCCUCCAAGCACAGUCCAUCAUAGAGGACCCAGGAACUCUCAAGACAGAGCUCGCAGUCGUCGGCUUUGGGGCCACUGCACUCCAGACAGUCUUUAUGGCAGGGGACACAGUGGCGCGAGUCUGCAUAGAAGCCACGGGGACAGGACUGGUGGCACAUAUCAUCGUGCAGGAAGAACUCAGGCGUGCACUCUGGGAAAAGGAGGAAGCAGCAAGUUAUCCCCGGGGGGUAGGAGAAAGGAAUUCAUUGUCUGCAGUAGGCUAGCUCCUCCCUCAGCACUUUGGUUGAUUUGACCUGAGAGUAUGCUUGCCCUUUACCCACCCUGCCAGGGCAUAGACUUGAUGUCUAACAAGCCCUGCCUUGGGACAAGGAGGCCACACAUGGUGACCGUAUUAGAUGGUGCUGGACUUACACAAUGAAAUGGUCUGCCCUUUGGAGGUGCAGUGCAAAAAUUUGCAAUGCUGCAAAAGACAGGGAUGGCUGAGAGGCUGGCGGUAUUGUUUGAAAAACCCGAAGAGCAUUAACAGAUUUAAAAAAUUGUAUUGAGAACCUCACACUGUUUUCAACACAGAAAGCAGUUUAGGAAUGGUUGGAUUAGUUAACUUUUCAUUCAUUGAUCAGGUACAACAAUGAAUACAGGAUUGAUCAGUGUGAAGAAUACAUUGCGGGUUUAUUUUUUUUGUGUUCAUUUUCUUACUUUGGGGGGAAUCCUGGGAAACACUUGAGGUCACACCAAGAGAAUACUUUGGAUAGGACAGCACCAGUUAAAUGAGUCUGUCUUAUUCUGGAGAGAAAAUUGAACAGCUUUUUGGGGGAGAUAAUUCCUGAGGGAAAAAAACAACAAAAUUCAUUCACAGCCAGAGUGGUCAUCUCAGUCAUAGUUGCCCGAACUUUUCUUUCCUAUCCUUUUUAACAACUGCAGUUUUCUAGCUACCUCUGUGUUUUGUGGCUUACUAUCAGUCUGUAAGAUUUUGUGUUCCAAAAGAUGGGAACAGCUGGGCGUGGUGCCUCACGCUUGUAAUCCCAGCACUUUGGGAGGCUGAGGACGGUGGAUCACCUGAGGUCAGGAGUUUGAGACCAGCCUGACCAACAUGGAGAAACCUCGUCUCUACUAAAAAUGUUAAAAUUAGCCCGGCGUGGUGGAGCGUGCCUGUAAUCCCAGCUACUCUGGAGGCUGAGGCAGGAGAAUCGCUUAAACAUGGGAGGCAGAAGUUGCAGUGAGCUGAGAUUGAGCCAUUGCACUCCAGCCUGGGCAACAAGAGUGAAACUCCAUCUCAAGGAAAAAAAAAAGAUGAGAACAUUGGGUUCUUCUCUGUACCUCUAGCACCUAGGAUAGCACUUGCACAUCUGCUGUGUGUGUACAUAUGGGGGUGAGUGUAAGAGAUCAUGCAAAAAGGGGCUCUUGCUUGUCUUAACUUGCAGCAUCCAUAAUGAAAAGGGUGUAUCUCACCCUCAGUUUCUCUGAUGACAGGCACAGAGACAUACCUUUCAGGAAUGGUAGGGAGACUGGUUCCCACAGCUCUUUGCCAUCCACCCUCAGAUAAUCGGCCCCCAACUGGUGGCUCAGCAGAGCCUUGCUCUCCUGUGGGAAGCUCCUAGGUACCUUUGCAUGUUUUCUCAUGGAUGCAGUCCUGACACAUCUCUGGGCAAUGCUUGCAUACCCCCUUCACAGCCACGUGCCUCUCGGGGCAGUUUUCCUGGCACACUCCGUGGUGCAGGACGUGGCCUCCUUCACAAGAAUGGCAGUUGGUGGCGUUUCCUUCACAUGUUCUGCAAGGAGAGCUACAGCGUUCACAUAUGCCGUCUUCUGCAUAAGAGCCCCUGUGGAAGGAAGACAGAGUGCAACUGGAGAAGCUGACCUGCUGGAGAAGUGACUCAUUCCUGGGGAAAAGGAAUUAGGUCUAAAAACAAAAGGGCUGCUGCUGUCGUCAGCUGAGAGGCAUCCAUGGGAUUUAUAAGGAAGUGAAAAGAACAUUCAGAAAAAUGGAAGGAAAAGGACAAGCAUUAUUCUUGUGAAAGGAAAAUAAAUCUUGGGACCCCAGUAUUACUAAGCCAAAGGGAAAAAUCAAGCUGGGAACUGCUUAGGGUAAACCUGCCUCCCACGCUAUUCCUUAAAAAGAUAGCUAACUGGCCGGGUGUGGUGGCUCACGCUUGUAAUCCCAGCACUUUGGGAGGCCGAGGUGGGCAGGUCAUCAGGUCAGGAGAUCGAGACCAUUCUGGCCAACAUGGUGAAACACUGUCUCUACUAAAAAAUACAAAAAUUAGCUGGGUGUGGUGGUGCACGCCUAUAGUCUCAGCUACUCGGGAGGCUGAGACAGGAGAAUCACUUGAACUCGGGAGGCAGAGGCUGCAGUGAGCCGAGAUCAUGCCACUGCACUCCAACCUGGUGACAGAGUGAGACUCUGUCUUAAAAAAAAAAAAACAAAACCAAAAACCAGAUAGUUACUAAGAUUUUAAAAAG
rnacentral:lncRNA from 1 species